AUUGGACGCUGGCGGAAUGCUUUACACAUGCAAGUCGAACGGUAGAGGGGGCAACCCCUCGAGAGUGGCGAACGGGUGAGUAAUAUAUCGGAACGUGCCCAGUCGUGGGGGAUAACGUAGCGAAAGUUACGCUAAUACCGCAUACGAUCUAAGGAUGAAAGCGGGGGAUCGCAAGACCUCGCGCGAUUGGAGCGGCCGAGAUCAGAUUAGGUAGUUGGGGGGGUAAAGGCUCACCAAGCCAACGAUCUGUAGCUGGUCUGAGAGGACGACCAGCCACACUGGAACUGAGACACGGUCCAGACUCCUACGGGAGGCAGCAGUGGGGAAUUUUGGACAAUGGACGCAAGUCUGAUCCAGCCAUUCCGCGUGCAGGAUGAAGGCCCUCGGGUUGUAAACUGCUUUUGUACGGAACGAAAAGGUCUCUCUUAAUACGGGGGGCUCAUGACGGUACCGUAAGAAUAAGCACCGGCUAACUACGUGCCAGCAGCCGCCGUAA
rnacentral:rRNA from 1 species